rnacentral:ncRNA from 1 species
UUAAGUUAGGUUUGUGGUUGAAAGUCGAUGCUAGUCGCAGGCAAAGCGAUCCACGUAAAUUAAACAAAGUUUUAAUGAGCAUGGUGCGGUUUAGAAGUAAGUCCUGCCGUUUAAGUACGAGAGAAUUAGUAGUGAGAGGAUAGUACCGGGUAGCGAAAGUUCCAGCAGGCGAGUGUGGGGUCAAAGACCAGGUCAACUAACUUAA